GUUGCAGGAUCUGUAUCGGCAACUUGCUUUCAUGGUAUGCAUUUGUUGCCGAGCAUUCCUGCUACAGUGAUUCUAGAGGAAGAUGGGCAGUUGAUUUCCACUCUUAUUUUGGUGGGAAUCUUGACAACUAUUUUCCUCAUAUUU